rnacentral:lncRNA from 1 species
AUUAAGGUAAGUAUUGAUAUUGAAUUGAAUUGAAUUGAAUUAAAUUAUGAGUAUAUUUGAUUAUUUGGAAUACAUAUUGAUUGGAAAUUGAAAAGUUAUUUGAAAGCCCUAUUAACUGUAUCGGGUCGAGUCGGAUAUAGUUGGCAUGCCAUAUAUUGGAAGAGUUCAAGGAUUCUUCGACCAAGAAGUUGAUGAGACAUUGGGUGUCAAACUAUUGCUUCGGAUAAAUUCGAUGACGUACUGGGUACCAACUUACUUUAGCAUGGCCGAUGAGACAUUAGGUGUCAAUCUAUUACUUCGAAUUAUCCGAUGAGGCACUGGGUGUCAUACUGGUGUGUUUUGGUUGGAUCCGUAUAUCUGCCAAAGUCCGAGUCGUGUUAAUAGGGGUAAAUAAAUGAAUUGGCAAUAUGAAUGAUAUUGGAUGAUUUUGAAUAUGAAUUGGAUUGGGAUAUUGAAUUGACAUAUGAAAAUGAAAUAUAUGAACCAUGGGUUCAUGAAAUAGUUAUUGAAAUAGUGAAGUGAUGUAUGAAUCAAAGUGGAGAAAAUUGUUUGAAAUAGCUAUUAAUGAGAUAUGAAAGUUAAAUGUAUAAAUUGUUAUAUUGAUUGAUUAAUGUUCUUGUAUGAUUAAAUGUGUAAUGUUUAAAUAUAUUAUUUUCUUUAAAACAUUCGGAUUAUAGAAAUACCACUGAGUUUAUACUCAGCGUACAGUUUGUUUUCCGUGCGCAAGCUAGGCUGAAAUCAAAUUUUCGAAUCAGCAUCUAAAGCCGCUCCUGAACUCAAAGUGGUGAAGUAUAUUUCUUUUUUGUAAUGGCAUGUACCUAGGACAUCAUAUGUAUGUCAUUUUGUGAAAUGAUUGUAUAUGAUGUUAUAAGAUGAUACUAGUUACUUAUAUAUAUAUGAACAUAUGUAUGUUAUGUUCAAGUAAUAAUAUGGUAUGUUCAAGUUAAUACUCAAAUGGAUAUGAAAUAUGCAAAUCUAAGGUUAAAAUUGUAUGAAAAUUUGGGUUAGCUUAAAUGGUGGAUUGUCAAACAAUAUAUGUAAAAUACCUAUGAGGGUACAUUAAUUAGACCCUUAGAUUGAUGAUUUUGGCAUGUAUUAAAGGUAUUUGAAUGUGUUUUGGAUUGGUUGGAAAUUUUGAAUUUUGAGUUGCUUGUUGUUCAAGAUUUGCUGGGUUGGUAAACUUGAUGUAUAAGGCUCAUUUUGAGUCUACACAGCCUGGCACACGGGCGUGUGACCAGACCAUGUGAGACACACGGCUAGCAAAUAGGCGUGUGGGUUGGCCGUGUGUCCCCUGAAACUUAAGUUUUUUAAAACAGAAUACUCAGGUAUUACCACACGGGUAGAGAUGCGGGCGUGUGUAUCAGCCUUGUGAGGCACAAUACUAACACACGGGCGUGUGGCUGGCUGUGUGGCCUAAGUCAGAGAGUUACACAGGGUUAGACACGGCCUGAGGCACAGGUAUGUUUAAGGUCACAUGGGCGUGUCCCUAAAUCACAUGGGCGUAUGAGCCCUGUACUUAGAAAAAAAUUUAAAAUUUCAUGAAAAAUUUUUUAGACUUUCGAUUAAGUAUCAAUUUGUUUCUAAUAUGUGAUUUGGGCCUCGAGGGCUCAAUAAAGGAACAUUAUGAUUAAAUUAUGAUGUGUAUGUUAAAUUAUUAUGUGAUUAUUCAUAUUUGUUUUGAAAUGUCUGGUAAUGCUUCGUAACCCUAUUCUGACGACGGAUAAGGGUUAGGGGUGUUACAGUUACUUACACUUAAUGUUUAAAUAGAUUUAACCAUCACUUGAAUCAUACUAAUUAUAUGAAGGAUUACCUAGAUUCAAUAGGAAAUCAAUCAACAUGCAUUGGAAUAAGUUACUAUUAUAUUUGUAUUUAAUUAAUAUAAUUAUCAUCUUAGAUAAAUAUACUUGUAUUUAUUAUGAUUAUUUGUUGUUUGUGUGAAUGUUGUACCAAGAUGAUGCAAUUGUCACGGGCCAAGGUGCAAAGCCAGUGACCAUCAUAUAAAAUGCAUCCAUAGAGAUCUAUCAAUUAGAUAGGGAUCAUUUGACUCACGAGAACUAGCCCAAUUUAAAAACUAAUGGAGAAGCCUGUCUGUUUGAAGCUUAGGUAGCCCAAUAAAGUAGAUAUGAAAAGUUAGGCUACCUUAUUAAAUAGGGAAACUAAUCUUGGAAGAUUGAAGGGAAUCAUAUCUGAUAAGAUUUGAUUUGAUUAUGUAAAUCUUAUAAAUCCCUUAAUUGUAGGGAGAAGCUUCAUCUUGUAACGCCCUGAUAAAUUUAUUUCUGUAUCUGUAAAUUUUGACACAAGUGUGUAUCUACUUCAGUGGUUAAGUGUUCUAGGUGUGUUUGAAAGGUCUUGGGUUCAAGUUCUACCUUUAGAAAAUUUUGUUAUUUUUCUGAUCCUAACCUUACCCUUGUUGGAUGGGUUUAUAUAUUAAACUGUUUGUUAAUUCAUAUUAGAAUGAGCCCGCUGGUUCGGAUGGUAAAGGGUUGGUGUGUUGGGGGUCCUGUGUUCGAAUCCUUGCGUGUUAAAUAGAGUUUCGAUUGAGCUCAAAUUCUGAGGGAGUUAUGAGUAGUGGGUAAGUAGGAGAAAAUUGAGGGAUUUAUGGGAUUUCUUAUUUUUUUAUUAUAAUUUUAUUUUUCUUUUCUAAUUUUAAUUUUUCUUUCUCUUCCCAAAUUUUCCAAACAUUUGACUUUUUUCCCUAUUGUCUGGUAAAAUCUUUUGUUAUCUUGUGUUCGAAAUUCUGUCGAAAUCUUGUUAAUCAAUUUCAGUUUUCAAUUCUUUAGUGUUUUUGUACGUUUGGUAAGUGCAUGGGGUGAUUUUCGUGUAGAUUAAGGAAAAUCAUUCCUUAAGUUGUUCAAAUCGAUUCUUUUCUCUCUCCCGUUAGUUAAUUGUGAGUGUUAACAGCAGAGAAUCGUGAAUAACAGGGCUAUCCUCUUGCGAAAUCAUAGCCAGAAUUGUUUGGAGUAAUAGAACUUUUGUUGGUUUUAUGGUUUCAGAUUAAUCUCGAAUUAAGACUGAAUUUGGAGUUUGGUUUGUUGAUUUUAGGUUCUGGUGAUCUCGGGUGUGUUCUUGUAUCAAAAUUGAAGUAGGUGUGUAUCCCUUACGCGUGAAAAACGAGUUUCGACUCUAGUGGAUUAAAAAUAAACAAAACUAAUGGAUUAAAGCUAUUCUGCUCUAGUGGCAUGAGUUCAUUUGCUCUUGUAGCAUUUUGUUUCUUUUUUCAUUGAGUUUUUGUUUAAGCGUUCAUAGAGGAUGUUUUGGCAGAUCUGCAUUUAGAGGAUGAGGAGGCAAGUGAGAAUGAAGGCUGGCAGGUGGACUAGGAGACAGUUGAAGAGGAGAUUGUCUACUAUCUUACUCUUAUCGGUUGUUUUCUUAUGACAAGUGCUAUCAAAUUUCAAUCCAUGAUAUCAAAUUUGGCUAAUCUUUGGCACCCCUUCGGAGAGGUUACAAUUAUUGAUUUAGGGGAAAAGAGAUUUCUCUUUCAUUUCUACUAUGAAGUUGACAUUGAAUGGGUGAUUAGUUUGGACUUUUAACAAUCAUUUGUUGAUUUUACAAAUUUAAAAGAGGAGGAUGAACCGUUAAGUGUCCCAUUAUUUCAUGCGAUUUGUUAGGUUCAAAUAUAUGAUCUCCCUAAGGUAUUAUUUUGAAUCAAUGGCCAAGUAAUUUGGAAAUUUUAUUGGGACCUUCUUGGACUAUGACGAAAAAGCUAUGGCCGCGGGUUUGAGAAAUUAUAUACGAAUUCGUGUGGAAAUGGAUAUCAGGAAAUUGAUAAAACGACGGAAGAAACUUAUUAUUGGCAAUGGUAAGGAGCACUUUGUCUCUUUUAAGUAUGAGAAACUCACGACAUUUUGCUUUUUAUAUGGGAAGCUUGGUCAUGGGGAAAGCUUUUGUCCUAUCCAGAUUAUCCAUGAGAAGGAGUUGCCAUUAGACUGGAAUAUAUCCCUAAAAGUUACACUGCAUAGGGCUGCAACAAGUGGCAAUAUCUGGCUGCGUGAUUCGAGCAGGAAUUGAGGAGUCAAUUUUGGAAACAAUGUAAAAGGGAAUGGACGGAUAUUAAGGGAUAAUUCUAUCCCAAAUUUAAUGAGAGUGAUGGGUGCAAAUCUGGGCAUUAAUCUAGUCAGCAAAUCAAACUAUGAUUUGGAGGGAAAUCUGGCUAAUAUGGUGAAUAUGGAUUCUUUAGAAGAGGAAAGGCACAUCUUGUCUACUGAUGGAAAAAAGCGACCCAGAACUAGUUAUGUAUCGCAAGUUUCUUACUAAUAAGAUUUAAGCAAAACUUCAGGGCAGUAGUCUAAUGUUCACCAUAGCAAUCAAUCGGUUGAACCUGCAAGGCAAGUCAACCAGGAUCAAUGAAAAUCUUAAGCUGGAAUGUCCGUGGGAUGUCUAUGGGUUAGGAAAACCACUGUCAAUUCGAUAGAUUUGGCAUAUGUUGGAGGAUUUACAACUCCAAUUUAUGUUUUUAAUAGAGACUAAAGUAGACAGUAGUAGGAUGGAGAGUAUUAGAAUAAGUGCGAGAUUUCUUUAUAGUAUUGACGUUCAAGCAUCUAGUUCUCAUGGUAGGCUUUCGUUGGGUUAGAAGUAUGAUUGUGAUGUUUCUUUGCAAAGUAUGUCCUCUUCCCAUAUCGAUGUUAAAAUUACUGAACGUGAUACAAGAGUUUCUUGACGCCUGAUAGGGUUCUAUGGAUCUUCGAAUGGUCGAAAGAGGAGGGAGUCUUAGGAACUUUUGAAAUUGUUGAGCCAAAGUAAUAAUCUUCCUUAGGUGGUUUUAGAAGACUCUAACAAAAUCUUAUUCAGUUACGAGAAGUAAUGAGGUCGCUUAAGGGAUGAUCACCAAAUGGGGGAUUUUUUCCAAACGUUGGAUGAGUGUCAGUUGAGGAAUUUGAGAUAUUUUGGUAGAUGGUUCACCUGAGAGAAGGGUAAUUUUGCUUCAAAUAAUAUAAGGGAAUAAUAGGAUAGAGGGGUGGCUAAAAACAUAUGGUGUGACUUAUUUCCAAAUCAUCGACUUUCACAUUUGGAACAUUCAUUUUCUGAUCAUUGUCUCAUAAUGUUAGAGACGAAUGUUGUGGCAAAUGCUGCUUGAAGAAGGCCUCAUAGUUUUAAACUCGAAGCGAAGUGAAUUUUGGAUGACUCUUGCGAUGCUAAGGUGAGGAAACUUUAGAGUGAUUAUGCGGAUCUCCAAGUUUCGAAUCGUCUAGAGAAUGUUGGAGAUGGUUUGAGUCGUUAGGCUAAAACGAUAAAAAAAGGACAAAAGGAAGGUGGAAAAUAGACUACUCAAUCAUCUUAAAGUAUUGAGAGACAAGACUACAAUAGAUGAUAUCAUUUUCGAAAUCAUUGAAACCAAAUUGAAUCUCAAUCUUUAGAUGGAUAAAAAGGAAAUGUAUUAGGGGCAAAGAGCUUGAUUAAACUGGCUUAAUUAUGGAGAUCGCAACAUGAAGUUUUUUUACAAUUUUGCCUCUUUUCGUCAUCGUACUAACCGAAUUAGUGGACUUGUAAAUAGAGAUGGAAUAGUGACGUCUAAUAAUAAUAAAAUGAUGACUAUAACUACUGAUUAUUUUGCUAAUAUCUUCACUAGUAACGGCGGAAAAGAUUCUAAUAGAGUGCAUUUGGGUGUUCGUCAAUGCAUUACUGAAAGAAUGAAUGAGAUGCUCAUAGUUGACUUUAGGGGAGAAGAUGUGCAAGCAGCUUUGAAAGAAAUAGGCCCAACUAAAGCACGGGUAGAGAAGGUUUCCCAGCUCUAUUCUUUCAACGUUUCUGGCUAGUGGUAGGGAGUGAUGUUAUAAACUACUACUUGAAGGUGUUUCAUCGUGAAAUCCCAUUAAAUAAGGUAAAUCACACCCACAUCGUUCUUAUUCCUAAGGUUUCUGUACCAGAUGCAAUGCAUAUGUUCUGUCCCAUCAGUUUAUUUUUUCUCUUUACAAGAUUAUAUCCAAAGUGCUUACUAAUAGACUAAAAAGAGUUCUUGAUCAUUGUAUUGAUGAGGCCCAGGGGGAUUUUAUUUUGGUGAGAUUGAUUUCAGAUAAUAUAUUAGCAGUUUAUGAAAUAUUAUAUACCUUAAAAAGAUGUCGAUAGGGGAACAAUGGGAGUUUCGCACUAAAUCUCAACAUGAGCAAAGCAUAUAAUAGAGUUGAAUGGAAUUUCCUUGAAGGUAUGAUAUUGAACAUGGGUUUCAAUAUUGAAUGGGUUUCAUUAAUUAUGUAUUAUGUUACCUUUGUUUCUUAUUCAGUGGUGUUUAACGAGGAUGUGAGUGAUCUGUUUAUCCCUAAUAGGGGCAUCCACCAAGGUGAUCCUUUGAUCCCUUUACCUUUUCUUACUUUAUACUGAAGGUUUUGCUACUUUAUUACACAAAGAAAAAGAGGAUGAUAGGUUGAUGGGGGUGAAAAUUUGCAUGGGUGGUCCCUCAAUCACUCACUUAUUAUUUGUUGAUGACAAUAUGAUAUAUGGCAAAGUUUCUGAUGAAAGAUGUCAGAUUGUCCAAUCUCUUCUUCAAAGAUAUGAGAGAUGUUCUAAAUUGCAGAUAUUUUUCAAUUCUAAUGUCCUGAAUAAUACUUGUUGUCAGAUUACAAGCCGAAUGGGGGUUAAACGGGUUUUCAAUCCGAAAAAUUACUUGGAACUUUCUACUAUGGUUAAAAGAAGGAAGAAUGUUACCUUCCAACAUUUGAAAGAUAGAUUAAAAGAGAAGAUAAGUAAUUGGAGUGUUCGAAUGUUAUCACGGGGAAGCAAGAAGACUUUUAUUAAAUCGGUUUUGCAGGAACUUUCAACAUACUCGAUGUCUUAUUUCCUUCUCCUUAUGUCCCUUUGUAAUGAACUUGAGAGGAUUAUAAGCAAGUUUUGGUGGCAGAAGGAAUAUAGCCGAAAAGUAAUUUUCGUGGUGCAAAAGGAAAGAUCUCUGUGCCUUAAAGGAGGAGGGUGGUUUGGGUUCUCGUGACUUCUCCAAGUUCAAUAUCGUGUUGUUGGCAAAACAAGGAUGGAGACUUAUAACCAAGCCAGAUUCUCUUGUUGCGCUUAAAUUGAGAGCCAAAUAUUACCCACAUUUGGACUUUUUGAAUGCUAAUUUAGGCUUGUCUUCUUCCCAUCUGUGGAGGAGUAUUUGGGCGACAAUAGGACUUUUAGAGAAAGGAAUUGGUUGGUGGGUUGGUAUAGGCAGUUCUAUAUCUAUUUAGAAUGAUUGUUGGUUUCCUUAUUCACAGGGUUGUCAUAUACGAGACUUAGUUGUUAAUGAUUUAGUUAAUACUGUGUCCCAUCUCAUCAAUAUAGAUACUAGAAAGUGGAAUGAAAAGUUAAUUACCAGUAUUUUCUGUCCACAGGAAGUUUCUACCAUACUUUGUAUUCCUCUGUCUCGUGAUGCUGGAGAAGAUAAGCUUGUUUGGUUGGAGGAGAACAUUGGUGACUAUUCCGUUCCCAGUGGCUAUCGGCUCCUUCUUCACUCCCAACAAACUAAGCCCUAUCCUAUGGAAUACAUGGAUUUUUACAAGCGAUUCUGAAAAAUACAAGUGCCAGCUAAAAUUAAAAUUACAACCUGGUGCAUCCUUAACAAUUAUAUCCUUACUAAUACUAAUCUAUUUACAAAAACAGUGGCCCAAACUCUUGUUUGCUUGAUGUGCAACAUUAAAGUGGAAACUAAUGUUCAUGCUAUGAUGGGCUACCACCCUACAAAGAAUAUCUGGGUAAGUUUGGGAUUUACUGAUACUAUUGAUGGUGUAACAGAUAAUCUUUGGGAUUGGUUCACAAAAAAAACUAAAUGGCGAGUAACUGUUUACCUGUCGUCUUAUCCUGAUCACUGUAUGGGAAUAUGGUUCAACCGUAACAAACUGGUGAUGGAAGGGAAACACCUCUCUUCACAAGAUAUCUACACAAAAAUCAGUAGGUUAGUUAGGGAAUUGAACCAUCUUGACAGAAUGUUACAUGGAUUUUGGAGGGGAUAUCAAGAUCGGUGGUUCUCCAUCAGAACCCCAUGUUAAGCUUAAUUUUAACGCCACUUAAAAAGGGAAUACUAAAAGGUAUUACUCAGGGUUUGUUAUUCACUCAAAUGGACAGAUUAUGGGUAGUGGCGUCAUUCAGAAUAAAAAUGUAUCUGACAUUUUCUCGGCAGAAGCCCUGUCAUGCCAACAGGGCUUAUCUUUUGCGAAAGAAAUGGGAUUUAACUUUGUGAUGGUGGAAAGAGACUCUCGAUCCACGAUUACCAAGAUCAACCAAGAGAAAGAAGAUGAGUCUAGAAUCGAGGCCUACAUCAAAGAUAUCAAAAAUUUGGUUCAGGUUUUUAUAUCUAUUAAGUUCAAAUAUAUUCCAAAAAUGGCGAACAACGUUGCUCACCACCUGGCUCGAGAAUGAUUACAGAUGAAUGAAGAAACUUACUGGGUGGAAGAUAUUCAUGACAGUGUGCGAUCAGUGGUAGAGGAAGAUCGGCGUCGGAUAGACCCUGGUUAGGUCAUCCUCGUGCGAACGCUACUCCGAUGGCUGUCUUUCGGUGGGAUUGAACGGCUUUUGUUAUUUAGGCUAAGUUGUUUAUUGCUUUUGAAAAGUGCCGUGGAAAAGUACUUUUGAGAAGUGCUUUGAAAAAAUUUAAG